GCCUAGAUAGCUCAGUUGGUUAGAGAGUGGCACUGAUAACACCAACGUUGCAGGUUUGAUCCCCAUAUGGGGCA